rnacentral:rRNA from 1 species
AUACGGAGGGUGCAAGCGUUGCUCGGAAUCACUGGGCGUAAAGCGCGCGCAGGCGGCCUGAUAAGUUGGAUGUGAAAGCCUACGGCUCAACCGUAGAACUGCAUCCAAAACUGUCAGGCUAGAGUGUGGGAGAGGAAGAUGGAAUUAGUUGUGUAGGGGUAAAAUCCAUAGAGAUAACUAGGAAUACCAAAAGCGAAGGCAAUCUUCUGGAACACUACUGACGCUGAGGCGCGAAGGCGUGGGGAGCAAACAGGAUUAGAUACCCCUGUAGUCC